AACGAACGCUGGCGGCAUGCCUAACACAUGCAAGUCGAACGAAGGCUUCGGCCUUAGUGGCGCACGGGUGCGUAACGCGUGGGAAUCUGCCCUUGGGUUCGGAAUAACAGUGAGAAAUUACUGCUAAUACCGGAUGAUGACGUAAGUCCAAAGAUUUAUCGCCCAAGGAUGAGCCCGCGUAGGAUUAGCUAGUUGGUGAGGUAAAGGCUCACCAAGGCGACGAUCCUUAGCUGGUCUGAGAGGAUGAUCAGCCACACUGGGACUGAGACACGGCCCAGACUCCUACGGGAGGCAGCAGUGGGGAAUAUUGGACAAUGGGCGAAAGCCUGAUCCAGCAACGCCGCGUGAGUGAUGAAGGCCUUAGGGUUGUAAAGCUCUUUUGCCCGGGAUGAUAAUGACAGUACCGGGAGAAUAAGCUCCGGCUAACUCCGUGCCAGCAGCCGCGGUAAAGUGACUACU
rnacentral:rRNA from 1 species